UACGAAGGGGGCUAGCGUUGCUCGGAAUCACUGGGCGUAAAGGGUGCGUAGGCGGGUCUUUAAGUCAGGGGUGAAAUCCUGGAGCUCAACUCCAGAACUGCCUUUGAUACUGAGGAUCUUGAGUUCGGGAGAGGUGAGUGGAACUGCGAGUGUAGAGGUGAAAUUCGUAGAUAUUCGCAAGAACACCAGUGGCGAAGGCGGCUCACUGGCCCGA
rnacentral:rRNA from 1 species